UCUCACAAAUAUCCCUCACCCUCUUGGCCGGCUAUCACUCCUUUGCUUCUCUUUUCUUUUUUAUUUUCUCUCAACACAACACAAACACUCCUUUCACACUCUCCCACCAAUACUACUCAUUAACACCAUAUCCAACAUCAUUUUUCCACUAAGAUCACCAGAAAACUCUCUAGGAAUCUCUAAGGCACCUUUAUCUCUUUUGAUUUAAGGUUUGCUUGGUAUUGUUUAAGUUCUAGCUAAUCUCCUUUGGAGCUUGGAGAAUUAGGUUUUUGCAGGUUGCGAGUCUUUAUGACAACAGAAUCAGAUCUAGGUUUGUGUCUUUUCACUUUGGAUGACGCAUUCUUCCCUGCUGCCCAUUGGGUGAAGAGGUUCAUUGAUUGUGCAUGGGUGAGGCUGCUGCCCAUGGGGCUAAGAGACUACAUACUAGAGUGGACAAUAUCAUGCCAAUUGUGAAUGGGUAGAUCCAAUGACCAGUCUAUGUGGUAAUAUGAUAUAUUUGUGAUAAAUUACUUUAUGUUAGAUAUUAUGGCUUUAGAAUUAUAUUGUUAGUGAUCACAAAUUAAAAUAUAUAUAGUUUCAUAGUAUUUAUUUUGAGAAGUUUUGUGUUUCAAUACUUAAUCAUUCUUGUCAUAUUAUUAUUGAAAAUGAUCUUGCAGUACUCAAUUAGAAAUCUCCCAAACUAAAACAUGUUUUGUAAAUUGUUCAUCAUCAUGAAACUUGUUUUUCCCACCUUCAUUAAUUAUGCUACUUACUGGGGUUUAGCUCAUCCCACCUCUAAUAGUUUUUCAGAUCAAUUAGCUAUACAUUGGGUAUGGAGCUUACUUUAUUUGGUGGUAAUUGGAGUGCUAUGUUAAAUUGGGAGAUUUUUGCUAUAAAUGGUUGGUGACUCAAUCUUGCUAUAUUCAACAAGGCUGUAAUUAAUAUUAUUGGAGGUUGGGCACUAGAGGUUUGUUAGCCUUAGGUGUGGUAGGCCCAUAUUUGAUGUUGAGAUUGUCUAUUCUUGAUAAAAUUAUGACCUUGUGUAAUCCAUUUGGAGUUUUGUAAUAUAUUCAUGUAUCAUAUGGAGACACAUGAUUUUUAGUUAUUGUUUAUAAAUGUGGUACAGAGUUCUGACUUAUA